GGCUCCGCCGCGCGCGCGGGUAACGGCUCCGCCGCGCGCGGCGCCCGCGGCCCGCAGCCGCCGCAGAGCGCGGGGGAGGCGGAGGGCGAGCGCCGCUGCCGCGCUGGCCCGGAGGAGGCGGCGGACCGAGCGGCCUGGAAGACGGCGGCAGCGUGGAGACGGCGGGCAAACUGUGCUCGAGCGCGGGGGAGCGGGUGAGGUCAAGACUUCGGCCAGCCUUUCCAGUGAAUCUGAUGGAACAGCAAGGCAGGAUGGUAGAAUAGCAAGCAGCGGUGAUUUCCUGUGUUUUGGAAUUUUAACAUCAGCACGACUUACUGUCUAUAGACAGCUGUGGCUAAAGGUGGAAAAGAAAGUUCUCUAUGCAUGAUAAACCCCAAAACACAGCACUGAUUGAUCAGUUGAGGCUAGUGAUGAAGAUAACGACGAUGAAGAUAAUGAGUAACGUUACUGGUUGAUUAUUUUUUUUGCUAGAAAUAAUGGAAAAAUGCUCUAUUUUACCACUAAGCAAGAAUGUAAACUUUAUUAGCUCUCAUAGCCAGGUCCACCUGGAGCAUCCAUUUCUCUGUGGUCAGAGGUCCCUGGUCCAUCAUGCCAGGGCCGUUUGCGUGGUGGUAGUGAGGCCAUGUCCAUGCCCUGGAGCGAAGAAGAACGUUCUCGGUUAGCUGGAGAGUGUCCAUCAUGAGGAGGGUGAUCUGGACGAGGACCUGAUCAUGACAAGAAAAAACAGGAUCAUAAGCAAGCAAGCAAACAGAUGAAUAAGUUGUAAGAAAGGUAAAGGAUUCUGGUUUCCGUCCUCCUUCAAAACGUGGAAAUUCAUCUGGAGUAGGAAGCAGACCCUUUCGGCCUCCUGAGCAGCAAGAGAUGCAGGGGAUGAGAGUGAGAAGAAACAUCGUAUUCAUGAAACUAUCGUAAUUUGCCCCAGGAAAUGUCUUUGCGUCCUCAACCUUGCAUUUCACUGUGGAAGAAUGUUCCCUCACCUCUAAGAGUACCGCGACCUCGCCCCCGAACACCAUGGUCCCUUCCUCUUGCGUUUUCAUCUGGAGAGUCAAAAGCGUCAUCUGGCCCAAAAUCUUCAGGACCAGGAAAGCCAUCUCUCCCCCUGGGUCCCCGGCCCUCGUGUCUUGAGGGUCCUCCUCUUCUGAAGCUACAAGAGAGAACAUGGUACAAAUGUGUUUUUUAGGUAGAAUUUACAUUGAUAAACUUGAGUCAUCUUCAAUAAUCAACUUGUUUCUGAACUGUUUUACUUAAUACUGUAGCACACACUAAAACAGGAUUUGUGGACAAAGACUCUGCUCACUUUAUGCCUCUGAGCACUUUGUCAUUUCAUUUUUAUCGUUUCCCCUCUUAUUUCCUUGUCUGUGUUUUUUCAUACAAGAAGAAUAUUGGCAUACAAGAAAAAUAUUGCAUUCAUUUAAUGAAAAGGUAAAAAUCAGUGAGUGAUGUUAGAUAUAAGGUAAGGUAAGGAAAAGGACAAGUGAAUUUCCGUAGCUGUUGUGGUCUUAUUUCCCCUUCUAAAUUUUAUUCAUUUUGGAUUCUUUUGCUAUAACAUUCUCUUAUGCAUUCUGUUCUUAAGAAUCUAAGUUGAUAGUUUCAGCAAAUGAUCUUAGACUGUACUUGACUCUGUAGUGAGGAUGGUUGCUGAACAGUGCACAGUAGCAUCCUACAGCCCAAAAAGUAGUUUAUCCAACUGCAAUAAUGAAAAAUUCUGUUUUGUGAAAUGUAGCUAUCGUGACACUGAAGUUGGUUAUUUCCUUCUAGCAAGUACCACGACAUCUUCAGUAAUUUGAUAUGAUUGGGUUCUGUAUUUUUUAUUAAGUAUAGUUCCUCCAGUAUCAUACUGGGGUUUUUUACUGAGAUCUUCAGAGAGAAGAAUGGUUCUUACUGAACUAUCAAAAGCCAUUUCAAAUAAGCCUCUAGAUGGCUGCAUGAAUACUAGAAGUUUUGUUUUUUACAGUACCAGCAUAUAAACACUUGGAGUGCUUGUAAAAGUGCAGACAUAUUCUGUGUAUCAUUGCAACUCCAAACGUAUGCAUGAGCAUCAGUUGUUACGACUGUCUCAGUUUACAGCCCAGGUCCCACAAUCUCUGUGCAAGCACAGACAAGAUGGUUAGGUGGUGCAGGCACACUGGUUCAGGAGGCCUCACAGUGCAAUCCCACUCUAGUACUGCCCACCCCUCAGCGAGACCUCUAAUAAUGUGGAGCACUGUCCUUGCCCAUUCACACUGCGGCCCCCCAUCCCUUCUCAUCCCAGUUCCACACUGGCCAAACCAUAGCCACAGUAAUAUUCAGGUAGUUUUGGCUUUUUGCAACAUCCCCUUCCCCAGCUCAUUAAAGACACAGUGCAUCCUAUUACAAGCAAAACUUUAGAUACUUUUAUUUAGAAUUUUAACAACAUUAACCUUUUAAUUACAAAUUUAAAUAUUUUAACAGUAGUCAUAACACAAUACAAUAUUUUUAAACUUUUACAUUUUUUUUAAUUAAAAACAAUAGGUCUGUCUCCACCUCCCAGAAAACAAACACAAUACAGAGAGGAGGCUGCUGUGCCUAUAUAGGUACAACAGUGGAUGGAGGGAGUGCUGUGUAUGGACAAUGAACCAUUUUACAUUAACUUAGAUGAUCUGGGAAAACAAACUGAACAGUUUCAGGUACAAAUGGUUCAAAUAACCACAAAGCAAUAUUGUUCAGCCUUGAAACAGCACAGUCCUCUAGGUGUUCUUUAGAGGGUCUCCCAUUUUAAUACUGACAUGGUGUGACUCUGCUUAGCUUGUAAAUUAUCUAGAUUUGCAACACAAGGUCCUAAGGCUACCAGAAAUAGUGCCUUUCCUUUUGCAAGUUAGGCAACCUUAUGGCCACAGUUCAGUUUUGAGAUCUAACCGUACCUAUGCCUGACAUAGCCACAGCACCUAAUAUUGUGUCAUAUAGAUCCUUUUUCACUUUUGCAUAUCAGUCACACGUGAAACCCUGCCUUGUAUAGGUCUCAGUUCCUGUUUUGACUGCUCUCAGGUCGUCUUCCUUGAGGCCUAGGACCUUAACGUACAGAACUACACACUGUGCAGAUUAGCAGGCAGGAAGAGGCAGGUCUCUGCAGUAGAAGCAUCAUGUUGAUAUGCACAGGUAGAGUAAGAACAGGACAGGGAUGAAAAGGACGGGAAAUUAGAGAGAAACACACACAUACACACACAUCCCUCUCAUGCUUGAUCAAGCCAGUUACAAUCUCAAUUCCAAACCAAGCCAGCUAAAUGAGUGGAUUGGGAUUCUUAGGUUCACCUCAGCAUCUGCAGUAAAUAGCAUCUAAUUCACCUUCAAAGGAAUUCAUUAAGUUUGCUAAGCACAAUAAGCCCUUUAUAGCCUUGUGCUCAUUCUUUUUAAACUAAAUUAUCUGUACAAAUACUCGUACUGUGACGAACAGACUCUUCUUAGUUCAGAAGUCAGAUUUACAGAUCACAGGUUUCUUGGAUACUCUUCUUGAAACCUUUUUAAAAUCAGGAUAAUAAAAUUUUUCCAAGUCCCUAAACACUUCCAAUAUAAGAUUCAAAAAUCUCUACUGCACUUUUAAAAAUGUUGUCUGCCAUGUCUUUUAGAAUUCUAUAACGCAGACCAUUCAGCUUGGAUGCUGUCUAUUUUUACUCUUACGUUUUUAAAAUGGCUUUAAUUGUUACCUUCUUUUAGUUACUGUUCAUUUCUUUUCAUACUCUUCACACAAAAGGAAGGUACAUCUUUACAGAGCUAGGUAGAAAAUAGCUAAAAGAAGAGCUGUAUAGAUGUAAAGUAAAAGGAAUGUAAGAAAAUGAUUAAAAAGGCAACUAAAACACACAAAAUUCACAUUAUGUGGAGACCACAAUAUAUUUGUACAAAUACACGUUUCUAUACAUACGGAGUUGGUGGUCAGUGAGAGGCUUAGACCUUGGAGGCCAAAUUUUACUGUUAAACUAGCAUAAGUCUGGAGCAACUUUCAAUGACAGUUAAUCUUGCUGACUUAAGAGUAAUUCUUCCAUAUUUACAUUGGUAACUAGAAGCAAAUUCGUCCCUUUGUGAUUCGUCUGGAAACUGUGAGCAAUGACAUGGACAUUGCUAUGAACUAGAUUAUUUUUGAGUUCUUCGCUUGGCAUUAAGAAAUAAGUCAGAAAGAAAUAAAAUUCCUACAAGCAAAACAUGAGAAAAAUAGUCUCAACAGUCCAACAGAUGCAGUAGCUCUGCCCCUUAAUAUUUGAUAGUAGGAUCACUGUUCCUGCUCCUUACACGUAUAUUACAUCUCAUUCUACAGUCUCUACAGUCAUGCUGUAGUUUGUGACUGGAGACAAGAGUCUCGAAUUCCAUUUCUAGUGUUCAAAAGUUUGUCAUUUUAACCUUCAAGUUUCCUCUCAAUUUUCAUCAAAACGAUCUCAAAUCUUCAUCCUGUGUCACUUGAUCUUCUCUACAAAAUUUCCUCCCUUCUCUUUACUUACUGUUUAAAGACACGGAAGCUGCUGUGUACAAUGACCAUUUUUCAAGUUUUCUUCUAUUACUGAAUGAUUUUAUGGACUCUAUACUCAGGUAUAUUAGAGUUUUCAUUUCCUUAUUGGUUUCCAGUUUAUAAAUCUGAAACAGAUAGACUCCUUAAUGAAAAGGAAACCAGGAAGAAAGAUUUCCCUCCAUUCACCCUUUACCCCAAAACAACAAGAAGAUUUAUUCUUACCUCUCAUCGCGUCUUCCUCGGAACCGUGCAUCCUCGGGAUCCCGUGGAUAUCUAUCAUCUGAUGGUCGCCGUCCUUCCCAAGCACCAGGAGGCCCACGGUUUGAACCUCCUCCUUCAAAUUCCCUGUGAUCAGGAGGAAAGGGAGGCCCAGGUCCACCGCGUCUCCAUUUUUCAUCUUGUAAUGGUGGACCUCCUCUCCCUUCAAAUUCCCGUAAUCGAUGGCCAAAUCUCUUAUCUGGAUGGAAGUCGUCACGGAAGUCAUCUGGUCGAUCAAAGUCAUCAUGGAAAUCUGGGUGAGGUCCUCGUCUAUCUGGCAUGCCCCUGCUGUCUCUACCAUCACCCCACUCCUGGCCACCUCGAAACAACCCUCUCUCAGGCCCAUGAUCAGGACCACCACUGUUCUGGUCGUGCCUUCUAUCUGAGAGAGGGCCCAUGUGAUGGUUUGGUGGACCACGGGAGUCACCUUGAAGGAAAAAACCAUAGCAAAUUUCUGUAAUGUUUUCUAAAAACAUUUCUAGGAUGUUCUAGUUUGCACAUUUCUCCAAAGUACAGCCUAUACAUCUCACAUUAAAUAUUCUUUGGGGAAACACUUCUCCUCUACAUUCCUGCUAGAGUCUGUGCAACCUUCUCUCCGAGCCAAGGCCCCAUGCUAUGCUAUAGCCUUUCCUACCUAGAGGCAUUGCACUGGAACUGUCACUUUUUGGAGAGCAAAGAAGAACAGACAGGAUAUAUAAUUACCUUUAUUAAGACCAGGUCCUUGGCUGUGAGGGCCAAGACGACCUUGUCCUCCCUGCUGCCCCAGUCCUGGUAUCAAUGGUGGAGGACCAGGGUUCUGUCCAUCCUGUUAAUAUGACAGGAAAGAUUACGUGAAUUACCACACCUGAGAAUUUCUUCUUUUAGGCAUUUUGCAAGAGGGCAAAAUACAUUUCUUUACAUAAACAAAGACUAUGUAUCUUCACAGAUCUUCAAACAAUAGAAAGAACUGAUUUUGCAAUUGUUUGAGCCUAAUUUUUCAGACAUUCACAUACUACUAACAAUUCUUCAGUCACUUCCUGAAAGCAUACAUGAUUUUAUAGAAAUGUUACCAUUUCAAGGACUAAUUACACCAUCUAUCUUUUACCUGUAACAACCAAUGAUGAUAAAACUCAUUUAGCUGUGAAGAUGAGGAAAUUGUGUAGAUUUGUUUGAAAAAUAUCAGGUACUGACUUGCAUGCUAUUAAAAAAUUGCCUAGGCCUAUACCCCUAUACCACCAGAACUGCAUAGUCCAGGACUUUCUUUAGAAAUAAAAAAUAAAUAAAAAUUAAAAAAAAAGGAGUAUCUGCCAACAGGUGAAACUACUAGUACCUGCUGCUGGUGGUACUAGUGAACCACUCCUGUACACCUUGCUUUGUAAACUUAACAUAGAAACACAUGAGCUUGGUUUUGACCGUACUGGCAAAGUGUUUUUUUCCUAAUUCUAAAUCUAGGCUCAAAAGAAAGUACUAAAACCUUAAGAUGCGUGAGUAAGCACAAAGGGAGAAGUUGUUACUAGGUUAUUAAUGCAAGGACAGAUAUAAAGGCAGAAGCUGCAGUAGCCUGCUUUUCCCAAGCAGAAACAGCAGACUGAGCAAGAGUUUGGUGGAAGCUACAUCAACCCAAAGAAAAAGUGAAGAAUAAGCAAGCCUUUUGUUAUUCUGUUUUUCUCCAUGAAUUUUGCAAGGUUGCUACACAAAACCUUUUAUGCUGGUAUCACCAAAAUAACAACAACAAUAAUAAUCCCCAAAAAACAACCAGAAAACCCCAAACAUUUUUUCUUAGACACGUCUAAAGAAUAAAAUUUGGAACUUGCCUCUGCACUGGCUUGUAAAAGACCUUCCAGAUGGUUCAUAAAUACUUAAAAAAUAUAUAUAUACUCCUUAAUUGUACUUGUGAUUUACACUGAUUAAUCUAUGAAUUCAAGUUAAGUAAUUUUCAUGUUCUGUACUUAUUUUUUUGGAAACACUACUUUCUUUCAGUUGAAGAAAAGUAAUAAGUUAAUCUGUGCAUUUUUCCCUUCGUAUCUUGAAAUAUGAAUUUUAAAUUACAUACUGAACUCAUAUUUAAUUGCAGUAUCAGUGAUAAACACAAGAAAGGCAUGAAAGUAUGCACUACAAACAGCACAUUUGUAAGGAAUAUUUUUGUAAGGAGUUAGGGGGAAAAGAUAGCAAAAUAAAAGGCUUGAUCAAAUACACAUUAAAAAAGUGUCUAUCCAAUGUCUAAGCAGCGAGAUGAACCCAGAACACAAAUUCCCUGACUAGGAAAGACCCACCUAAAUAUUAUCACAGUGCUUCUGCCAUUCUUGACUGAAACCUGGCUGGAGUUUUAUGAUUGCCCAUACAUUUAUAACUUCCCAGACAUUUCCAGUAAUUUCCCUGUGCAGGGAAAUUUCUUGCAAUAAGCUUUCUUCAACUUCUUAAAUUCAUGCCACUUUUGUUUAAACAAAAAGUAGUUUCUGAUGUUCACUAAAAGACUUUCCUUAAGGUUUGCCAAAACACCUUAUUGCUAAUAAUUAAUGCUCUAACAAGGCAGGAAGACAAAACGGCAGUACUACAUUUUUACAUGCUUUUCACCUCAAAAUGCGUUAUGGGCCCCACCUUAUAACCGCGAGACUAAAUUCUGCAGAGCUCAGGAGGGCAGCGAGCAGGGCAGCAGCUUUAGAUGAUCGUGUCCUCCUCCCGCGCGCCGUGCCACAGCUACGCUCGGGCCGGCGGCUCCCCUCCCUGCUGACUUAUCGGAUACAAACCACCCUGCCGCUUCUGAGCGGCUGCUUGCGUUUUUUGCAGAAUCUUUCGUAUCGAUCCACAGGAAAAACUUGUCAUUCUUCUAAAACAUUUCCCAAGCUCCUGAAGUUUGCCUGCACACCGACAAUAGAGGCUUGUCCUUAAGUAUUAGCACCUUGCACAAGCAGUAAAUGAAAUGAAAUUCAGCAUAUCUAAAAAGAUUAGUUGCGAUUCAGACCAACUCUUCUAAACCAGUAACCACCAAAGAGCCACAAAAGUACCACUGCUAACUUGGCAAUAUUCUGUUUGCCCAGCUCUAUUUUAAUAUCAACAUGCCUAUCUCCAGAAAAAGAUUUUGCCAAUCAUAUCUCAGGAAAUUUCCUUCCCAUAAACAGUUUUCUAUUCUGUUUCAUGCUUGCAGAAGGUAGCAAAUCUCAGAUUGAGGAAGCAAUGUACAUCUAGCCCAAGCACCGGGCAGUAAACCUCCACUCUACAAUGUAGAGUGGGUGCAGAUAAUAAUGGGUUUCUUUACCUUUACAUAUCUGUAUAAAUAUUCAGUAUUAAAUUCACAAGCCUUGAUGAAGCAGAUAAGUAUUCAUACCCUUCCUGUUACUGAUAGGGGAAAAACAAAAGGAAGUCAAGUGAUUUCUACAAAUUUACAGAAAGGUAAUGUCGGAUUUGGAACCAAAAAAAGUGCCAAUGCCUACUGCUAAAAAAAAAAAAAUCCAAGUUAGGUAACUACUAUUAUAUUCAUAUUACAGAGAAGCAAACAGGAGCAAAAAUUGACAGGAACAUCAUGAAUUUUGAAAUCUGUUCUUUUUUUAAGGCAUUAUCCUACUAAAGCUACACUAAGAAGGGAAAAGGGUAAAAAGUGUUUGUUUUUUGCCCUUUCUUUUCAAUAUUUGUAUGACUUUAAGAUAGUAGUAUUCAUUAAGAAUAACCGUCCAUCUGUCAAAAGCAACUAGUGAAUUCUCACCUCAGAGCGUUAACAGCAAUGUUGGACAAGGACAGUCCUACGCAUUCUGCACAUAAACACACACGCGCUUUGAUACACACCUGCACAAGCUUGGUAGUUAUUCUCAAGCCAGAAAAAUCAGUCUGCUUAGCAGAGCCAUGAGAAACACCAUGCUAGCAUGAAUUAGAUGACUGAUAGUUAUGGAAUCAAAUUUUAUUUUCUCAGCUUUGAUGCUUUUGAAAUCUCAGCAAUAGUGUUGCACUAACAGACUUCUGGAGGGAGUUGCUACUUAUUUGUUUUUUAAAAAAUUGAAUAAAUACAUAAUUUGUAGGCCA